AGAAUCAACGCUGGCGGCGUGCCUAACACAUGCAAGUCGAACGCGAAAGGGGCUUCGGCCCUGAGUAGAGUGGCGAACGGGUGAGUAACACGUGGGUGAUCUACCUUCGAGUGGGGGAUAACGUUCCGAAAGGAGCGCUAAUACCGCAUGACGUUCCGGGUUUGAAGACCUGGAAACCAAAGCCGGGGACCGCAAGGCCUGGCGCUAGAAGAGGAGCCCGCGCCUGAUUAGCUAGUUGGUGGGGUAAUGGCUCACCAAGGCGACGAUCAGUA
rnacentral:rRNA from 1 species